UGCCAGCAGCCGCGGUAAUUCCAGCUCCAAUAGCGUAUAUUAAAGUUGUUGCGGUUAAAAAGCUCGUAGUUGGAUCUCGGCGGGCAGGGGGUGGUUCGCUCUUCAGCGCUACUGCCCCGCUUUGCCCGUGUGAUUGGCGGAGGUUUCGGGGUGCUCUUCGUUGAGUGACUCGGAGCGCCGUCAGGUUUACUUUGAAAAAAUUAGAGUGCUCAAAGCAGGCUUUUCACGCUUGAAUAUUCGUGCAUGGAAUAAUGGAAUAGGAACUCGUUUCUAUUUUGUUGGUUUUCGGAAAUCGAGUUAAUGAUUAACAGGGACAAUUGGGGGCAUUAGUAUUCAGACGACAGAGGUGAAAUUCUUGGACCGUCUGAAGACUGACUACUGCGAAAGCAUUUGCCAAGAGUGUUUUCAUUAAUCAAGAACGAAAGUUAGAGGUUCGAAGGCGAUCAGAUACCGCCCUAGUUCUAACCAUAAACGAUGCCAGCUAGCGAUCUGCCGAGUUUUUUUUGUAGGCUCCGCAGGAAGCUUUCGGGAAACCAAAGCUUUUGGGUUCCGGGGGAAGUAUGGUUGCAAAGCUGAAACUUAAAGGAAUUGACGGAAGGGCACCACCAGGAGUGGAGCCUGCGGCUUAAUUUGACUCAACACGGGAAAUCUCACCAGGCCCGGACACUGGAAGGAUUGACAGAUUGAGAGCUCUUUCUCGAUUCGGUGGGUGGUGGUGCAUGGCCGUUCUUAGUUGGUGGAGUGAUUUGUCUGGUUAAUUCCGAUAACGAACGAGACUCUGUCCUGCUAAAUAGUUGGGUCGUCCUUCGUGCGAUCCAAGUUCUUCUUAGAGGGACUGGCUGCGUCUAGCAGCACGAGAUUGAGCAAUAACAGGUCUGUGAUGCCCAA
rnacentral:rRNA from 1 species